GACGAACGCUGGCGGCGUGCUUAACACAUGCCAGUCGAACGGAAAGGCCCUGCUUUUGUGGGGUGCUCGAGUGGCGAACGGGUGAGUAACACGUGAGUAACCUGCCCUUGACUUUGGGAUAACUUCAGGAAACUGGGGCUAAUACCGGAUAGGAGCUCCUGCUGCAUGGUGGGGGUUGGAAAGUUUCGGCGGUUGGGGAUGGACUCGCGGCUUAUCAGCUUGUUGGUGGGGUAGUGGCUUGCCAAGGCUUUGACGGGUAGCCGGCCUGAGAGGGUGACCGGCCACAUUGGGACUGAGAUACGGCCCAGACUCCUACGGGAGGCAGCAGUGGGGAAUAUUGCACAAUGGGCGGAAGCCUGAUGCAGCAACGCCGCGUGCGGGAUGACGGCCUUCGGGCUGUAAACCGCUUUCGCCUGUGACGAAGCGUGAGUGACGGUAAUGGGUAAAGAAGCACCGGCUAACUACGUG
rnacentral:rRNA from 1 species